GGGGGUGUUCCGGAUUCGACUGUGAAUUGGAAGAUUCGGUUGCGUGCCGAGGACGAUGCUUGGCCUCGUAAAAAAUGCGUCAAAACACUAAAUGGCGAAUCUAACGUCAUCGACUUCGAGCCUGAGCUCGAAGCUCUUGCGGCCUAGGUGCCGCACGUCCACGUCGGCCGACGCCUGCUGAGUCGGCGGGGCGACAAACAAGCAGGCAAAACCUCGGAGCGUUGGGUUGCCUAUCGGAGGCUAAACGGUUGAAGGCAGUCUAGGCCCGGAAGGUGUUGCUUCCUGAACAGGGCUUAAAACCAUAAAGACAACUACGCGCGUAGACGCCGUCUUGAAAAAUUCACGGGACGCGGGUUCGACUCCCGCCACCUCCACCA
rnacentral:tmRNA from 1 species